CGCCAGACAUGCUAGAGGAUGACAAUUUCUUUGACCUUAUCACAAGACUUCAAGGUCGUAGGAUGGACGAUCAACGAUGUGAAAUGAGAGACGACCAAUAUGAGUUACCGGCGUUUUUAAAACCUAACCCUUCAGAUCCCCCUCAAAUCAUCACCCUGCAGAGAAUGGGGCAAUGGGGGGAUGAUAACCCAUUGGAAAUGAUGGGGACGGUCAACAUCAGCAAAUUUCAACAAUGAUGAAUAUGUUAGCAAACUCACAAUCAAAACCAUGGAUGAGCAAAGGGUAAGUCUCUCUGGACUUCCUGGGUUAAGGGUCAACGAUGGCGUCAACAAUCUGCAACAACCAGAUGGCGCUGCAGCUCCAUUACCAGUGGUUCUUCGACCAAGACUGGGAAACGGUGGGAUACCAGGAAACGAAAACAGACAUUCACUCGAUGACACAUUUUUUAACACUCACAUGAGAUGCCAG